UCCUAGUCUCCAGCCAUGCCUGUGGCAACCUGAGCCCACUCUCAACACAUUGGACCCAGGCAGAUGUAAAAAAUUCACAGAACUAUGAUUUGGACUCAAGGGAAUUAAAAAGGACCAAGAAGAGGAAGAAGACCAAGGCCCACCAGGCCCCGGGCUCAGCAGUGAGCUGCUGGAAGGGGAAGGGCCUGAAGUCUUGCAGGACUCACUG
rnacentral:lncRNA from 1 species